ACGUGAAUGUGUUUAGUUUAUCGCACCAUUCUCUGUAUGUAAACUCUAGAGAUUGUAGUGCGUAAAAAUCCCAUGAAGGCAGCUGUUUCUGAGAUGCUGGAACGGUCAAAGUUGCUUAGAUUACGCAUCUUGCCCGUUCUAAUGUUUGGUCGAACAACAUCUAAAGCUCUCUACUCUAUAUACUCUAUAUAUUGAGUUGCAGGCAGCCACAUGAUUCACUGUUCGAAUGUAACCUUCCUUGAUGAGCUAAAUAAGGUCUGUAGAGCUGAUGGCGUGACCUAUGUCAUUGUGUGGGAUAAUGUCAGGCUCCACCAUGCUCAAAUGGAGCAAGCAUGGUUUCAGGCCCAUCCACAAUUUACCACCCUGUACUUACCACCAUACUCUUCUUUCCUAAAACCCGAUUGAGUUAUUUUUCUCCACAUGGAGGUGGAAGCUAUAUGAUAGGCGCCCUCACGAACAAGCCACCCUUCUCCAGGCCAUGUCAGGCCUGGAUUCGCCAUGCCCGAAGAUUCUUCACCACAUAUUUGGCUAAUGAAUACAUCCAUUGUGAUGUGGAUGAGAACCUAUGGCCAAAUCCACAAGACAGGGUUGAGGGAAAUAUAGAAGUACAGUAAUCAAUCCUUUGUUCUGGUUUUUACAGUAAGCCAGGGGGAACACUGCAGUGAUGUUUUACAGUAAGCCAGGUGAGGAACACUGCAGUGAUGUUUUACAGUAAGCCACUUGAGGAACACUGCAGUGAUGUUUUACAGUAAGCCAGGUGAGGAAUACUGCAGUGAUGUUUUACAGUAAGCCAGGUGAGGAACACUGCAGUGAUGUUUUACAGUACGUCAGGUGAGGAACACUGCAGUGAUGUUUUACAGUAAGCCAGGUGAGGAACACUGCAGUGAUGUUUUACAAUAAGCCAGGCGAGGAACACUGCCGUGGUGUUUUACAGUAAGCCAGGUGAGGAACACUGCAGUGAUGUUUUACAGUAAGCCAGGUGAGGAACACUGCAGUGAUGUUUUACAGUAAGCCAAGUGAGGAACACUGCAGUGAUGUUUUACAGUAAGUCAGGUGAGGAACACUGCAGUGAUGUUUUACAGUAAGCCAGGUGAGGAACACUGCAGUGAUGUUUUACAGUAAGCCAGGUGAGGAACACUGCAGUGAUGUUUUACAGUAAGUCAGGUGAGGAACACUGCAGUGAUGUUUUACAGUAAGUCAGGUGAGGAACACUGCAGUGAUGUUUUACAGUAAGUCAGGUGUGGAACACUGCAGUGAUGUUUUACAGUAAGUCAGGUGAGGAACACUGCAGUGAUGUUUUACAGUAAGCCAGGUGAGGAACACUGCAGUUGACA